AAAAAAGAGUGAUGAACCACGAGGACUUUCCUGGAGGUCACCCAUCCUAGUACUACUCUCGCCCAAGCACGCGUAACUGCGAAGUUCUGAUGGGAUCUGGUGCAUUAGUGCUGGUAUGAUCACAUCUGUUACUACAUGCAAUGCAAUCGUAUCUAUUCUUUUUUGAAGAUUUUAUGAUCCAUUUGCAGUGGGUCCCACCAGCUAUGUAGGAAUACCCUAUCUUGUUUAUAAGAGCUUUGAUACAUGCAAAAUCUUCGAAAACAAUGUCCGAACAUAUAAUUUUCGCCCCGUAAUAUAGCAAAGAUCACGAAAAUGCCAAAAUAGUACAUUUAGGUCAAAAUUUGGAGUAGGAAAAAAAAACCUUCAUCAUUCAUU
rnacentral:sRNA from 1 species